rnacentral:rRNA from 1 species
UACGGAGGGUGCAAGCGUUAAUCGGAAUUACUGGGCGUAAAGCGCGCGUAGGCGGUUAAUUAAGUCAGAUGUGAAAGCCCCGGGCUCAACCUGGGAACUGCAUUUGAAACUGGUUAACUAGAGUAUGGUAGAGGAGAGUGGAAUUUCAGGUGUAGCGGUGAAAUGCGUAGAGAUCUGAAGGAACACCAGUGGCGAAGGCGACUCUCUGGACCAAUACUGACGCUGAGGUGCGAAAGCGUGGGUAGCAAACGGG